rnacentral:rRNA from 1 species
GACGAACGCUGGCGGCGUGCCUAAUACAUGCAAGUCGAACGAGAGCGACCGGUGCUUGCACUGGUCAAUCUAGUGGCGAACGGGUGAGUAACACGUGGGUAACCUGCCCAUCAGAGGGGGAUAACAUCCGGAAACGGAUGCUAAAACCGCAUAGGUCUUCGAGCCGCAUGGCUUGAAGAGGAAAAGAGGCGCACGCUUCUGCUGAUGGAUGGACCCGCGGUGCAUUAGCUAGUUGGUGAGGUAACGGCUCACCAAGGCCGUGAUGCAUAGCCGACCUGAGAGGGUGAUCGGCCACAUUGGGACUGAGACACGGCCCAAACUCCUACGGGAGGCAGCAGUAGGGAAUCUUCCGCAAUGGACGCAAGUCUGACGGAGCAACGCCGCGUGAGUGGAGAAGGUUUUCGGAUCGUAAAACUCUGUUGUUAGAGAAGAACAAGUGCUAGAGUAACUGUUAGCGCCUUGACGGGAUCUAACCAGAAAGCCACGGCUAACUACGU